rnacentral:rRNA from 1 species
GCGAAAUCUUUCAAAAAAGUGUACCGGGAGGAAAAGUCUUUAUUGAAUUGUAUGAUAAUUAUUUUAGAGAUAGGAGGAGUGUGGUCUUUUGUUAGAAGAGAUUAUUUCUUGUACUUUUUGUAUCAUGGGACAUAGAGUUUGGUGAUUCAGGUUUGGGUGUCCUGAAAGGCUCUGAGCUAUCCUUCUUUUUUGCUUUUGCAAAAGGUCUGUGGUGUUGCAUUACUGCGGGGGAGAGUCUGAUAGAUAAUGAAAUGUUUGUCGAAGAGCCUGAUAGCUGGUUAGUUGGGAAAUGCAUAUGAGUGCAGCGCAGGUGGUGAAAUGAGAGAAGCGAUAAUAAUGGGAUCUUGUUUUUUACUUGUAGUGAGAUUGUAGGGGUAAGCUCUGUAAUGAAAUUUUUAGGAUAAAUUACAGCUAAGUAGAGUUGAUAUUGCUUGUCUUAUGUUGAGUUUUUGUUCAAAAUAGUUUUGUGCGUUAUUUUGUUUGGUACUAUUUCUUAGUUUUGAAUGGUAAAAUUUGGGAGUAGUAUGUCAUGAGUAGGUGUGUGGUGUAUAAUAUGAUAUGUGUGGAGUUGAUUAGGUUGUUUUAUUUAGGGGUGUUGAAUUAGGUUUGAAGGUAAAUGAGAAAAGCAGAUCUAAGGAAUUCGGCAAUUGUUUUCCCCGCCUGUUUAUUAAAAACAUGGCUCUUAGGAGAAGAAGAAUUAGGAGUCGUACCUGCCCGGUGGAGCGGUUCUAAACGGUUGCUAUUUGUCGUAGUACUAAGGUAGCGCAAUAAAUUGUCCUUUAAUUGGGGAAAGGAAUGAAUGGUUUGACGUGGGAAAAAGUGUCUCGGGUUUGUUGUCUGAAUUUUACUUCUAGGUGAAAAGGCUUAGAUUAUUUUAUUAGACGAGAAGACCCCGUCGAGCUUGAUGAGGGAAUAGAAAGGUUGUUUAGGUUCUUCAAGUUUUGUUGGGGUGACAGGAGGCAAGGUUAACGCAUCUUGGUUUUGUGUAGAUCCUGUAGUAUGGAUAAAGAGAAAAAGCUACCGCGGGGAUAACAGCGUAAUGUUUCUGGAAAGAUCUUAUUGAAGGGAAAAGUUGCGACCUCGAUGUUGAAUUAGGGUUUCACCUCGGUGCAGCAGCUGAGAUAGUAGGUCUGUUCGCCCUUUAAAACCUUACAUGAUUUGAGUUUAGACCGGCGUGAGCUAGGUCGGAUUCUAUCUUUCUUUUAGGUUCCCUUUGUACGAAAGGAUCGGGGAGUUGCC